CACGUAGGGUGCAAGCGUUAAUCGGAAUUACUGGGCGUAAAGCGUGCGCAGGCGGCUUUGCAAGACAGAUGUGAAAUCCCCGGGCUUAACCUGGGAACUGCAUUUGUGACUGCAUGGCUGGAGUGCGGCAGAGGGGGAUGGAAUUCCGCGUGUAGCAGUGAAAUGCGUAGAUAUGCGGAGGAACACCGAUGGCGAAGGCAAUCCCCUGGGCCUGCACUGACGCUCAUGCACGAAAGCGUGGGGAGCAAACAGG
rnacentral:rRNA from 1 species